GCUGUGUCAUCCACCAAGGGAGAUUGGAAGAAGCUGGUGGGGUCCAUGCGGCCUCUGCAUCUCCAGGACAACAAUAGCCAGGCGGCGUACGACUACUGUGCCACCACAUCUUCACCCUCAGCUUUGUCGUGUAGCGGAACCAUGAGCCAGUACGCUUCGGCAAGCGAUCUCCAAGCAAUGGAUGUUCCUGCUGCUGGUGCACCCUCAAUUACUGACAGCAUGAGCCAGUACGCUUCAGCAAACGAUCUCCAAGCACUGGAGGCCUCAACUUCUUCUGGCACCAUGAGCCAGUAUGCUUCCGCAAACAAUCUCCAAGAACUCGAUGACGAGGAGGAAGAAGAGGAUCCAG
rnacentral:lncRNA from 1 species